AAAAGAGCAGAGAAGGAAAAUAG
rnacentral:rRNA from 1 species